rnacentral:rRNA from 1 species
UACGGAGGGUGCAAGCGUUGUCCGGAUUUAUUGGGUUUAAAGGGUGCGUAGGCGGCCUUUUAAGUCAGUGGUGAAAGCCCAUAGCUCAACUAUGGAACUGCCAUUGAUACUGAAAGGCUUGAGUACAGACGAGGUUGGCGGAAUGGAUGGUGUAGCGGUGAAAUGCAUAGAUACCAUCCAGAACUCCGAUUGCGUAGGCAGCUAACUAGGCUGUAACUGACGCUGAGGCACGAAAGCGUGGGAGCAAACAGG